GUCUGGGGAUCUGCCCGAUAGAGGGGGAUAACCACUGGAAACGGUGGCUAAUACCGCAUAAUGUCGCAAGACCAAAGAGGGGGACCUUCGGGCCUCUCACUAUCGGAUGAACCCAGAUGGGAUUAGCUAGUAGGCGGGGUAACGGCCCACCUAGGCGACGAUCCCUAGCUGGUCUGAGAGGAUGACCAGCCACACUGGAACUGAGACACGGUCCAGACUCCUACGGGAGGCAGCAGUGGGGAAUAUUGCACAAUGGGCGCAAGCCUGAUGCACCCAUGCCGCGUGUAUGAAGAAGGCCUUCGGGUUGUAAAGUACUUUCAGCGGGGAGGAAGGCAGUGAGGUUAAUAACCUUACUGAUUGACGUUACCCGCAAAAGAAGCACCGGCUAACUCCGUGCCAGCAGCCGCGGUAAUACGGAGGGUGCAAGCGUUAAUCGGAAUUACUGGGCGUAAAGCGCACGCAGGCGGUCUGUUAAGUCAGAUGUGAAAUCCCCGGGCUUAACCUGGGAACUGCAUUUGAAACUGGCAGGCUUGAGUCUCGUAGAGGGGGGUAGAAUUCCAGGUGUAGCGGUGAAAUGCGUAGAGAUCUGGAAGAAUACCGGUGGCGAAGGCGGCCCCCUGGACGAACACUGACGCUCAUGUGCGAAAGCGUGGGGAGCAAACAAGAUUAUAUACCCUGGUAGUCCACGCCGUAAACGAUGUCGACUUGGAGGUUGUUCCC
rnacentral:rRNA from 1 species